AAUUUGGUAAAUUCAUUUUGUGGGCAUAAACUAAUUGAUGUAUCUGAGGUCCCCGUUUUAUAUGAAACUUGUAACUUAACCUGUGAAAGUUUGCGAUUAAUCCCAUAAAAGUGCAAGUUUUAUUAAGGCUAAUAAACGGUGAGCUUUUUGAGAAUUGACUAAUCUUGUUUUAAGCAUGGUUUAACUCUAUAAGCUUGCUCGUUUUUGGUUCAAUCUGAUGAUCAUUGGUUACUUCUGGCAUAUAUAUAGUUGUUGUAGGGAGCUUGAUCAGCUUGAUUGAUUGUGUCUUUUCUAUUUUCAAGUUCUAUAGUUCACCUGGUGUUUGUUAGUGUUGGGUCCCACGUCGCUGGGUGGAGGAGCCCAUUAUUGGGCAAUCCUCUCCACACGAGCUGACAUUUGGGGUUGCGUAAGGCCUAAAGUCCAUUUAUCAAGGUACUAGAGCCAAACCCACCCCCAAUUUAUAGUUACUGAUGAUGGACCCCCAUUUAUAUUGUCCAUGCUCCAGUUUGCAAGCCUGAGCGUAAGGGAGGGUUUUGAGUCCCACAUUGGUGGGUGGAGAGGUCAUCCGUCUCCUUAUAUGACCUUAGGUCUCCACUUGUUUAUCCUUAGCUCUUAUUCGGAAAUGGAAGACGCGAAAGAUGUCAAGCAAAAUGCUCCAGAAUCCUCUCUUAAACCUGAAGUUUCCUCUCCAAACGACGAUCAAUCUUAUAGUGCAACUCAAACCAGCCAACAUGCGAAUGAAAAUGCAAAAUCCGAGACUCAGGAGCAAGUUGCGGAUGGUUCGGAGCAUGUAGGAGAGGCUUCUCACAGCUUGUCUUCAGAAAAGAGUGAGAAUCAUCCAACAGAAACUUUUAUUUCAGCCUCUCCUAUUAAAUCUGAUGAACCCAGUCCAUCAUUAUCAAAUGCAAAACCAACUGGUUCUAAUGGUAGUGUUCACGAUCAACUAAACAAUACUUGUGAUGAACCAAAAGAUGAGAGAGAUGCUUCAUCAUUGUUAACUAGGAAUUCAGAUACAUUGGCCAUAAAUGAGGAAAAAAUAAAAGAAUCUUCUGAACAUAUUCAAUCCAAUCAUUCAGGAGCAGAAGCAAGUAACACUUCACUGCUUCAUUUUCAAGAUAAUUCUCCUAGUAGUACCCAAACUGCUGAUGACUCACCUUCUAGUUCUCCUCUCCAAGUGACAAAACCUGAAAAUAACAAUCAUGUACAGCCAUCCGAUAACAUCGGUCAGCCCCUAGCCAAGGCUUCCACUCUCAAAAUUAAGAUCCCGGGACCCACUGCCCAUUCUAAGCAUCCUGAAAACUUUGACAUAAACAAGGUUCAAAUCGACACAGCAGCACCAAUCGAAUCUGUGAAACAGGCAGUUUCAAAGUUUGGAGGGAUUGUCGACUGGAAGGCUCAUCGACAACAGACAAUGGAGAGACGGAAUCUUGUUGAGCAAGAGCUAGCAAAAGUGCAGGAGGAGAUCCCGUUGUAUAAGAAACAGGCGCAGGAUGCAGAAGAUGCAAAACUGCUUGUUCUGAAAGAACUAGAUAGCACUAAGAGACUCAUAGAAGAGUUAAAGCUCAAUCUAGAGAGAGCACAAACAGAAGAGCAACAAGCAAAACAGGACUCAGAACUUGCCAAGCUCAGGGUAGAAGAGUUGGAGCGAGGGAUAGUUGAUGGCGCUAGUAUUGCUGCCAAAGCACAGCUUGAAGUUGCCAGAGCCAGGCAUGAAGCUGCAGUUUCUGAGCUCAAAAAUGUGAAUUCUGAAUUAGAAGUUCUCCGUAAAGAUUAUGCUUUAUUGGUGUCUGAAAAAGAUGUUGCCAUCAAAAAAGCAGAAGAAGCCGUUUCAGCAUCAAAAGAAGUUGACAAGACAGUGGAGGAUUUGACUAUUGAGCUCAUCAACGCGAAGGAAUCUUUGGAGGCUGCACACGCUGGACAUCUGGAGGCAGAGGAACACAGAAUUGGUGCAGCUAUGGCAAGAGAGCAAGAUACAUUAAACUGGGAGAAAGAACUGAAGCAGGCAGAAGAGGAGCUUGAGAGGUUAAACCAACAAAUUCUGUCUGCAAAGGAUCUUAAAGCAAAAUUAGAUACUGCUUCAGGUUUGCUACAAGAUCUCAACGCUGAGUUGGCAGCUUACAUGGAAUCAAAGUUGAAAGAGGAGGCUGAUGAAGAAGGGAACUUGAAAGUAGAGCUAUUAGAGCCCGAGAAAAGAACACAUUCUGAGAUACAAGCAGCAGUGGCAUCGGCUAAGAGGGAACUUGAAGAAGUGAAGCUUAACAUUGAAAAAGCAACAGCUGAAAUAGAAUGCCUGAAAGUAGCAGCUGCUUCAUUGAAGGCUGAACUGGAAAAGGAAAAAUCAGAACUAGCUGCUGUACAACAGAGAGAAGGAAUGGCAGCAGUUGUUGUUGCAUCUCUUGAAGCUGAGUUGAACAGGACAAAGUCAGAGAUUACCCUUUUGCGGACGAAGGAAAAAGAAGCAAGAGAAAAGAUGGUGGAGCUGCCCAAUCAACUGCAAGAGCCAGCAGAAGAGACCGAUCGCGCAAAGUCACUUGCUCAAAUGGCUCGUGAAGAGCUGAGGAAGGCGAAGGAAGAGGCAGAGCAAGCAAAGGCAGCAGCUAGUACUAUGGAAAGUAGAUUGCUUGCAGCUAAAAAAGAGAUAGAGGCUGCAAAAGCUUCAGAGAAGUUGGCACUAGCAGCUAUCACUGCUCUACAAGAGAAUGACUCAACCCGAAGCACCAAAGAUGAAGUAACAGUUUCUCUGCAAGAGUAUUAUGAACUCAGCAAGCAGGCCCACGAGGCAGAGGAGCAAGCGAACAUGAGGGUGACUGCUGCUAUCUCCCAAAUAGAAGUAGCCAAGGAAUCAGAGUUGAGUAGUCUAAACAGGCUCGAGGAGGUUAAUCGUGAGAUGACUGAAAGAAAGGAAGCACUGGAAAUCGCGCAGCAGAAGGCCGAGAAAGCCAAGGAAGGAAAAUUGGCAGCAGAGCAAGAGCUGAGGAAAUGGAGAGCGGAGCAUGAGCAAAGACGGAAAGCUGGUGUAUCUGUUCUACCAGUAAACAAAACAAGGAGCCCAAGAAUGAGUGUUGGGGAGAGUAAAGAAUCAAAAGCUUCUGAACGUGCACAAGAGGAUGCUGUACUUCAUCAAAGCUCAAGUCCAAAAGAAUACGUUAAAACAACCAACACUGAAACUGAUUCAUCUCCAGAAGUGAGGAUCCCAAAGAAAAAGAAGAAGUCCUUCUUCCCACGCAUCUUUAUGUUUCUGGGCAGAAAGAAAGCACAGGCCAAGGCAAGAUGAUGAUCUCUGCUGUUUCACAACAUCUUGUCAUUGUUUACUAUCGCUGCUCCAUUUUUCUUGGUUUGAGAAGGAUUAUAGAGGGCAAUAAGUUUGUCAUAGGUUUGGCUAUCUCAAUGAGCCUUUGCCUAUUAAAGUUGUUGGCGGCUUCAAAUGUGUACUCCAGCUAGUUCUGCAAAAAGCUAGCAGCAACUCAAAAGUUUGGCCUCCUGAAGAUAUUGGUUCAAAUGUGCAGUUAUGUUGUCCAUUUCUCAGGGAUAGCAAUACCUUUGUAAUUUGAUGUAUUUACACUGUACCUAACUUCUGUGGUUUGAAAAAUCAUCCCAAGAUCCCCUGGCCUUUAAUCUUUGUGUUGAAACCAUAUGAUACCAUUCUGUCCCCCAUAUGCUAUGCUUACUAUUUUCCCCAAUUGACCAUAAUCUCUAUUACAGGUCCUCCAAUUAUUAUA